CCUACGGGGCGCAGCAGUCGGGAAUAUUGCGCAAUGGAGGAAACUCUGACGCAGUGACGCCGCGUAUAGGAAGAAGGUUUUCGGAUUGUAAACUAUUGUCGAUAGGGAAGAAAAAAGACUGUACCUAUCAAGAAAGCUCCGGCUAACUACGUGCCAGCAGCCGCGGUAAUACGGAGGAUGCGAGCGUUAUCCGGAUUUAUUGGGUUUAAAGGGUGCGCAGGCGGUCUGUUAAGUCAGCGGUCAAAGCCCGGGGCUCAACCCCGGCCCGCCGUUGAAACUGGCAGUCUCGAGUUGGAGAGAAGUAU
rnacentral:rRNA from 1 species